rnacentral:rRNA from 1 species
CCUACGGGUGGCAGCAGUGAGGAAUAUUGGUCAAUGGCCAUAAGGCUGAACCAGCCAAGUCGCGUGAAGGAAGAAGGCUCUAUGGUUUGUAAACUUCUUUUAUAGGGGAAUAAAGGUAUCCACGUGUGGAUAUUUGCAUGUACCCUAUGAAUAAGCAUCGGCUAACUCCGUGCCAGCAGCCGCGGUAAUACGGAGGAUGCGAGCGUUAUCCGUAUUUAUUGGGUUUAAAGGGUGCGUAGGCGGGCUUUUAAGUCAGCGGUAAAAAUUCGGGGCUCAACCCCGUCCAGCCGCUGAAACUGGGGGUCUUGAGUGGGCGAGAAGAAGGCGGAAUGCGGGGUGUAGCGGUGAAAUGCAUAGAUAUCACGCAGAACCCCGAUUGCGAAGGCAGCCUGCCGGCGCCCUACUGACGCUGAGGCACGAAAGUGCGGGGAUCGAACAGGAUUAGAUACCCUGGUAGUC